CCAGACUCCUACGGGAGGCAGCAGUCGGGAAUAUUGCGCAAUGGAGGAAACUCUGACGCAGUGACGCCGCGUAUAGGAAGAAGGUUUUCGGAUUGUAAACUAUUGUCGUUAGGGAAGAUAAAAGACAGUACCUAAGGAGGAAGCUCCGGCUAACUACGUGCCAGCAGCCGCGGUAAUACGUAGGGGGCAAGCGUUAUCCGGAUUUACUGGGUGUAAAGGGAGCGUAGACGGCAAUGCAAGCCAGAUGUGAAAACCCGCAGCUCAACUGGGGGAGUGCAUUUGGAACUGUGUAGCUGGAGUGCAGGAGAGGUAAGCGGAAUUCCUGGUGUAGCGGUGAAAUGCGUAGAUAUCAGGAGGAACACCAGUGGCGAAGGCGGCUUACUGGACUGUAACUGACGUUGAGGCUCGAAAGCGUGGGGAGCAAACAGGAUUAGAUACCCGCGUAG
rnacentral:rRNA from 1 species